UUUUGCUCGGGCUACGUAACGCCAUGAACUGCAGUUGGGGCUUUGCAGCUUACAACUUCAUUUGGCCUGGUUGGUGGGUUUUUGGCCUGGUUGCUCGAUUUGGUAGCUGCGAUAUGGCGACGCGAAAAGCGAAAUUCAUUUUUAUGUUAAUGGCUUUUGGCGCUGGCCAGCGACACGCGCGUCUCGUGAAAGGAAAAGCGCGCGUUAAAAGUCGCAACGCCCCCGCUUAUAGCACUUCCUGCUGGCGCAUUGUUGUCUCAUGACAUUCAGCCAGAAUAAGAACAAGAGCAAAAACAGCUGUGUUUGGACUAAAGUACGCUGAACCACGCGGCCUGAGAAUUAUGACAGAGCCUCUGACAGCGUACCCAACCGAACCCCGAAAACAAGCUGCCUGGCAUUGAUGAUGAUGGUCUGUCGAAGUCUCCGGUCGGGACUCUGAGUCAUUUUUGCAUGGACUUUAUAAGCAUGCAUCAUAUUUAAUCUGUGGCCGCCGCCGACUCCUGCCUCGAGCGUGUGAAUAUAAACGACAAAUAUUGUGCAGUAAAUUGAUAUCUUGUUAAUCUUGUUGUUGUUAUUGUUUUUGUUAAUGUUGUUGCUGCUCUUGUUUGUUGUUGCUGCCUGUCUGCAGCGAUAAACAUCCGCACAAUUUUUGGAAUCGAAUCUGCUGAGAAAUUGCCAACUCUGCGUUUUCAACAGGAAGCUACCAAGAACAUGUUUAUACACAUCUUGAGAGAUGGGCAUAAUAUAUAUAUAUAUAUAUGUAUAUAUACAUGAUUGAGGAGUUGAAGAUUUAUUGGUUCCGCCUACAGACCUUAAGGGCUCCCAAGUAAAUAUUUAGCGCAUGUCGGGCUUGCGAAAUAUUUUUAUAAAGUUGAGAGUUCAAUAAAGUAAAAGAUUUAGGUGAAAAGUUUAAGAAGGUCUCCGGAAUUGAAUAUAAAUAUAUAUCAUGCUGUGGGACUUUAGUGGAAUAAUGAAAGCAAGCUUCAAAUCCUAAAAACUAGGCUUAACUUGAAACGAAUAAUGUAUCUAAAAUAUUUUCCUGCAGUAGAUUUAUUUUUAUUAAUUACUUAUAAAAAUGUUAUAUGCUAAUUAUCUUUCGCUCAGUGUACAUAAAUUAUUAAUUAUAUCAAAAAAUGUGCCUUCAAAUUUAUGGCUGGGGCUUUGAUUGUCGUACUUCGCCUGUAAUUCCCAUAAAGUUCAUGCCCUGAUAUCAACACAAGCAUUGCGCAACAUUUAAACUUGGCAGAAAUGAAAAGAAAAAAUAUAUAAAUUGAACCAGUUCCGUAAUCCCUGAUUUCGGUAUCAGGUAUUUCAGCAACUCGAUUGCAUUUUCAAUGCCAACAAAAUUAAAUGCAGCUUGCGAAAACUUGGCGUGGCACCUGCAACAUUGACAACAACAACUGCAAUAACUGCAAUAACUGCAACAACAGCCUUAUCACGAAUUGGUGGGCGUGGCUGGCAAGUGCGCGCUAAUGGCCUGGCAAUAACAACAACUAAUGACUAAAUUUCACAUGCCACAACCAAAAAAACCAGCAACUGUUGCUGUUGUUGUUGUUGUUGUUGCUGCUGGCGGGUAGGAAGCAAACGUUAAUUUAAUUUAAUCACGUUUUCUUUAGCUGCUGCGACAAACAAUGCUGCGGCUACGGCAACACGUUGCCAGUUCAAAGGUUAAGUGAGUGAGCGCAUUUGACUGGAGGCGACACACCCCAAAAAUGGGCAACAUUUGCCACAACACCGGGGCACGGGGCGUAUCAGUUGAACGCAUCAGCAACAGUUGUUGUUGUUGUUUUCGCUGUUGUUGCAGGUUGCAGGUUGCAGUUUGCUCGUGGCAUAAACGCCAAUUAUGUGCAACAUGCAUGUGUGUGCCGUGCCACAGAGAGAUAGAGAGAGAGACCAGAGCGUGGCAUGUUUUUGGCAAUUUUUCAUUUCCUGGCCAGGAAAAGACUUUGAAACUGGCGGAAAAACUAGCCGAGCUCAGCUUGUGUGCAGGUUGCCCGAGUGGGUGAGUGCCCGGGCAGAUGCUAGUGCGCCGAUAAGGCGUGCCAAAUGUGCAACAAGCGUGCCCCGGCUGGCCAAGCGUCAGGUGUGUUCAACGGGGGGAGGGCUCAGGUGGUUGCCAGCGAGUUACGCGAGCCGAGCCUGUUGCAUGCAGCCUUGGCAGCCAGCCUUGGUCACAUUAGAAUGACAGCAGCCGCAGCCAUUGUCAUUUCUCAUGCAGCGGCAACAAAAACUGGUUGCUUGCAACAGCCGCUGUGGCAUGCAAAUUGCCGUAAAUUGAAUUUGUCUGAUUACGUUUGCGCCCGGCGCGGUGCAAUAAUCGAUUGUCUCUCUGCCUAGCAUCAAUAUUUGCUUUACAACAGCCACAGGAUGCGGUCGAGGCAGUAGAAGAAGUUGAAAAAUAAAAAUGAAAAAUUGUGCCAACUGCAUGGCAGACAGCCGAACAGACAGAACGACAAACAGACAGCCAGACGGACGGACAGACAGACAGUCAGAUAAAUGAUUGCAUUCGAAUUGCAUUUCGAUGAUUGCAAAAUUGCGUUCCGUUUGGGGGCCACGCAGCGAAAAUUAUGAGCAUCUUGUGGCCAGAGCAAUGGAAAUGCUUAAUGGAGAUUAUAGAGCACAGCAAGGGCAAACGAGAGAGAGAGAGAGAGGGAGAGGGUGAUGCUGCCACAAGGAUAGCCAUCAGUCUGUAGACUUAAGCCUGUGCAUAACUACAUUAUUCAAUGGAAACAAUUUUACUAUCCACAGCUACAGCUGGAACUUGCCUUGAAAAGAAAACCAUUAAGAAGAACUUCAAUUAGGCAAAAAUGCAGAAAAAUCAAUCAGAAAAACAAUAUCUUAUACGUGUAGAUAAAUAUAUUUAAAUGUUAGUUAUUUUAUUUAAUAGUCAAGAAAUUCAAAUUGUUUUUGCGGCUUUAACUCCAUUAUUUUAUAAAAAGCACAUUAAAGCUCGCGUUAAGCCUUGCAACAAAAGCUUAAACCAUUCAAGCAUAGAAUAUUAACAAAAGCUUGUUUAACACAUUUCAAAAUUUAAUAAGCAACUGAUAAGCUCUCAAAAGUUGACGUGUUAGUACGAUAUGCCAGAUUUUAAAGAGCUUUUAGAGCAACUUUUAAGCUCUAAAUAUACGCAAAUAUGUGCUUUUACCCCCUAAAAUGUUUAUACGAACAUCGCAAGCUUCUGCAGAGCUUUAAGAGCAGCUUAAAAGCUAAACAAAUACAAUUGAAUCCCCUGUCAAAAGCUUAUCAAAGGCUGUGUAUAGCCACAGCUGAUUAAAUUGAGUUUAUCGAAGACUUGUUGCGCUGGGGAAAAAAAGCUGCUGCACGUUUUUCUAGUUUUUCAGCUAAUUGCAUAAAAUUUGCAUAUGCCAAAUGAAGUUUUUGGGCUGAAUUCAAUUAAAUGCGGCACAAGGAAUCCGAUGCUAGCGUGUUGCAUGACAGCCACGAAACGGAAAAAAAAAAUACUUGUGCAACAAAAAAAAAAAGGAGAGAAAUAGAAAAAAACUCAAUUUAAUUAGAUUUGGCCAAACGUGCUAAGGUGGCCGACCCGGGGCCAGGCAAAUGCUAUUUGGUCUAGAAUUUCCAGGUCAGCCCAGAGCUGGCUGGGCAUUUACAUAAAUGAGGCAUGUGUUAGGUACUGUGCCACAUGGCGUUGAUAGGUUGCCACAUGGCACAGCCCAAAUAGAAAUGGCUGGCUGGCAAGAAUGCAAUCAUUAAGCUGGAAAUGCUCUUGCGGCAUGUCAACAUAAGCAUUUGCCAUAAAUCAAAUGACGGCCAAAAGCAUUAAUGCCAACAAAACCCUGGGCAAUGCCAAUACCAGACCUGGGCCAGGGCUGGCCUGGCAGCUAGGCAGCUAUUCAGGCAAUGCCUCAAUUUGUUGUACAGCCGGGCCGGGACGCGCCGGGCCAAAAGAAUGUCGCAAUCAAAAUUUCAACAUCGUGCUUGCUGCUGCGGCCUGAGAAGAUCAGCAGAACAGACAUAUAGACCCAGGCGCAGCCAAAGAACCUGAACCAAUGCGCCCAUGGAACUAUAUUUAGAUCCAGUCGAUUGCCGCUCGAUUGAGCCAAAUGUUGCUGCUGUUCUUGUUGCUGCUGCUGCUGCUUCUGCUGUUGCAAUGCGCGACCCAAAAAGCAACAGCAACAUUAACAACAGCAUCAGGAACUCCAUAAAAAGCAUCUGCUACAGAGGUCGUCAGAACAUUUUUGAAUAUGUUUCUAAUUGGCGCACAUUAUUGUUGAUCUUCAGAUUGUUGGGAUCUCUAUUAUAAUGAUCCAAAUUGCUGGCAAUUUGUUUAGCUCGAUUGCAUUCCACAGAUUCGACUGGCUGCUUUCUCGUCGCCUGCUUGAAUAAAGUAUUAAAUUACCAUAAAUUAAUAUUGUCCACAGGCGUUUAAUUAGAGAGCCAGACAAUGGGCAUAUAAAAAAAGCAAAAGGGCAACUCUGACACUAAAGUUGACGCCAACAAAAAUGUGCACGUGUACAGUGGAGCAAAAUUAAUCAAAAACUAGAAAGAAUCCACAACUUGCUGUUGGGUAAUCAUAAGCUUUCUCUCAAGGAGCUUUAAGCCUAAGGUGGAAUUAAUUAAAUUAUUGUGCACAUAGCAUUUAUAAAAUCAAAAACUGUUUAUUGCAUAAUAUGCUCUAAAGCUUUUCUUAAUAAGCAAGAAAAUUUGAGUACAAUUUUUUUCAAGUAUAAUCUUGUAAAUCGAACGAAAAACAGAAUCCUCAAACAACAUGCAAACCUUUUCCUUAUUCGAUAUACCAAAGCUUUCAUGUGCUUUCAAAGCUGCUACUUUUAAUGUUUUUUUUUUUGCUUUUAUAAUGCCUCAAAACAAACUUAUUUUUUCCUUAUACAUUUCUUAUAAUCAUGUGACAGAAAACGCUUGAAGUUUGAUUAAUAUGUCUUGAGCAAUUCAUUUAAGGCAGCUUAAAGCUCUUUCAAAACGUGUAAUAAUAUUUAACUCUUAAAGCGCAGUAUCAGUUUAAAGAGCUGCUCAUUGGGAUUAAAUAUCUGCUGCUUAUUUCAUUCAACUCGAAUUACCGAGUGCCACUUUACUCCACUUCAGUUGACAUUGAAGUUGCAGUUCUUCUUCCUCUGCUUCGCUUCUCCAAUUCAGAAUUCUGAUUAUGUGAGGCAGAGUCCAAUUGAAAAUGAUGAAUGUGUCGCGUGUUUUAAUUUAUAUGCCCCACACAUGGUCAGCAAGCGUGUGUGUGUAUGUGUAUGUGUGUGGCAAUGUCAGGCUUGAUGUAAAUUGAGAUAUGCCCAUUGUAAUUCAAUUUCUGUGAACCAUGAGAAAAUCGCGCCUUACAUAUAUAUUCUCACUUUUUUCCUAUAUCAAAGUGUGUUUUACCUGCCUCAAAGGUCAGGCCUUUUGACAUGUUUUUAAGCUUGAAAUAAAUGUGACUAAUGGCUAAUGCUGCGUCUGUUUAUUUUUUUCUUGGCUCUAAUAAAGGUUAUGCGUGUUGAAGAUCAGCUACACUUGAAGAAAAAGUCGACUGGAAAGUAACACAAAUUAUUCAACUGCACAAUUUGAAUAGAAUGUGAUUGGCUUUUAGUUUAAGCUUCAGCGCAUUUUUAUGUUUGCUUUAAGCAAUUUAUUUGUACUAGAAUUUAUUCUCUCAGUGCAUGGCAAUAAUGUUGCUGCAGCAAAGUUGCGCAUCAUGCUGCGGGCUGCAACAUUCUGCGCAUGUGCAACCAAUUAUUAAUUGCAUAUGAAUUAUGCGGCGCAGUUGCCCUUGUUGUCGUUGUUGUUGUUGUUCUUGUUGUUGGUUGCAUUCCUGGGCUGAGUCAGCAUUUUGUUGGCUUUGUUGCCUUUGUGGCGCUCACUGCGACCGACUGGCGCCGACGUCGACAGAGGCGUCAACGGCGUGUGCCUGCCACAAUAUUCUGUGUGAUGUGCGCUUGUGUGGGUGGCUCUCUUGGCUUGGCUGGGGCUUAGAAUUCAUAUGCAGCUUGCAACAUUGUCUCGCCCCCUUUUUGCUUAUUAAAUUACAAAACAAACGGCCCACACAUAAAUAAGCUGCGGCCCCGGACCGGGCCCGGGCAUUAGACGGAAAUGCGCCGCAUCGCAUCCUGCCCAGAAUCGAGAGCCCAGAGAUCAGGCUUUAUGAAAAAUUCCUAGCGCUGCGGCGUCUAUAAUUAAGCGUGAAAUGUUGCUGGCGUUACGCUGCAUUCCAGCCAGCAGCCCUUUGGCUAUAACCAGACAACAGGCAACUUGCAACGGGCAACUUGCAACAGGCAGCCUGCAACUUGCAACGUGAGCAGAUUUUGUGGCCGAGUCACUUUUAUGGUUGCCUCUCGAUGUGCGCCUUGCGCCUUGCUCCUUGCACCUUUUGCUGCAACAUUCAUAUUAAUUGCAAGUGUCCGCACUUACUUUGCAACAUGCUGCAAUUAGAAUGUUGAACGAACGUUGCCGUCGCCGAUGCCUUCCUUUUUGCUUUUGUUAUUCUCUUCUUUUUUUUUUUUUUGUUGACGGAAGUCAAUUCAAAUGAUGCCCUUAAGGCUCCGCAGCGCCAAAGUUGAAUGCACUGCACCAACAAUUGUGACUGGACUAAAAUUGAUUUCUCAUGUUUGUGCCGUUUUCUUCUCCUUCUUCUUGUUCGUAAUAUAAACAAGCAGCGGGCAAAGUAAUUAAAAUAAAUUGCUAACAAAUGCGCAGGCUACACAGCACACAGAUAACUUGUUAACUGAAUUAACUAACCGAAUGGCUAGUUGCCUGCCUGCCUGCCUGGUGUUGGCCAUCUAACGCCCUGAUCCUGGGCCGUGUUUAAGAAAUUUACCUUGACAUUGGUUAUACACAGCAAGAAAAAGAGGUGUCUGUUUAUCAAAUUGUUGACUAUGUUUGUGCUUUGCAAAUCCGUUAGAAUUCAAGUCUAUUUAGUAUUAUUAUUAAUUACAUUUUGAAAAGGGACGAGGAAAGAAGCAACAUCUUUUACCUGCGAUAGACGAAGUUCUGUAAACAUUAGAUAUCGACAGACGAUAUUUACGCCUACCGAAAUCAUCGACCAUAUCUUAUAGCCUCACCUGACAUAUUUUUUUUAUACAUUUCUUGUAUAAUUCCCUAUAUAUUGGCUAUAUUUUUUCUCAAUGUAGCUCUCCAAUACUUCAGUUAAACUUAAACUCGUGCCUUGGCCUGCCUUGUCGCCAUGUUUGCCAUCAAAUUAAAGCGCUAAAUUGUUGUGCGCCUCUUCUUCCUGUCUUUCAUCACGUGCAUUGGGCACUUUUGCCUAGACCCAAGUCCAUGUCCAAUGUCGAUCCGAUGCGAUCCCCCCAGCUUCAUUAACAUAUGGGGCGUUUGUUCAGCGCAUUUUGGUGCUGUAAAUUACUGAUGGACAGCUGCCCGACUGGCCGGCCGCCCGUUUGCCCGGCUGGUUGCCUGGUUGUCCGGCUGGUUGCCUGGCUUGCCCAUUGGCAGUGAAAUUUUAUGAUGCCACAUUUCCUUUUGGGUAGCUGCUGCUGCACCUUUUAUGUGCUGUGCAACAAAUGCGCGAACAUUGCAGCGCGGCCUGUCCAUCAAUUAAAGAUGCGGCCAUACAAAUGUGCCCAUAAUUUGAUUGUUUUUCGCUACGGCGCAGCCAGUCGCUGACCCGCUUUUAAUAGUCCCCCACCAUACCCCCGGUCUCAAGCUGACUGCACAGCAUUUGCCACUUGCCAAUUACAGCGAACCGGGUCGACUCUGUGCCUAGCCAUAGUUGGCCACAAUGCCUGCCACAUGCCGCCUUGUGCCUCCUGCUUGUUGCCUCCUGCCUGCUGCCUGCAGCUGCAACUCGGGUGGUCCGGCCAGACACUUGGACGAGCCGUUGAGGCUGAUGGCCUUUAAGACGCGUUCUCUCCAUGGCAUUUAAGUGAUCCGCACAUCGCAUCUUUGGCAUAUUUUCAUUGGAAAAUUGUGGCCACAGUGGGGCAUUUGAACCACUUUGCGCUGCGGUGCUGCAUUCACCUCGCGAAAGGCAUUGACAUUGGUCUCUCGGUUUCUGUCCUCGUCUCGGGUUCGCGUUUAAUUCUCUCUGACGGCAUCUCGUCAUCAUCCUCGUGACGUGGUGCUUAUGGCAUAUGACGCCCGUUUUGGCCAUUGAAAGCAUUUCCACAUUCCGCAAGCGGCCUUGCUUAAUAUGGCACAACUAAGUGCAGCAUUUGGGGGCAGGUUUAUCCAUUCAGUUCUUAUUAAGGCUGUGGCUGCUGCUGCUGCUGCUCAGCCCGGGGGGAAUUAUCAACUUCAAGAACUCACUAAUUCAUAUCAUUCUCAA